GCACAAGCGGUGGAGCAUGUGGUUUAAUUCGAUGCAACGCGAAGAACCUUACCUGGGCUUGACAUCCCGGGAAUCCCUUGGAAACAAGGGAGUGCCCCUUCGGGGAACCUGGAGACAGGUGCUGCAUGGCUGUCGUCAGCUCGUGUCGUGAGAUGUAGGGUUAAGUCCCGCAACGAGCGCAACCCUUGUCUUUAAUUGCCAUCAUUGAGUUGGGCACUUUAAAGAGACUGCCGGUGUUAAACCGGAGGAAGGUGGGGAUGACGUCAAGUCCUCAUGGCCUUUAUGCCCAGGGCUACACACGUGCUACAAUGGGUGGUACAAAGAGCAGCCAGCUCGCGAGAGUGAGCAAAUCCACAAAGCCGGCCUCAGUUCAGAUUGUAGGCUGCAACUCGCCUGCAUGAAGAUGGAGUUGCUAGUAACCGCAGGUCAGCAAUACUGCGGUGAAUACGUUCCCGGGUCUU
rnacentral:rRNA from 1 species